GACGAACGCUGGCGGCGUGCCUAAUACAUGCAAGUCGGGCGGAUCUUUAGGAGCUUGCUCCUGAAGAUUAGCGGCGGACGGGUGAGUAACACGUGGGCAACCUGCCUGUAAGACUGGGAUAACACCGGGAAACCGGUGCUAAUACCGGAUAAUUCUUUCCCUCACAUGAGGGAAAGCUGAAAGUCGGUUUCGGCUGACACUUACAGAUGGGCCCGCGGCGCAUUAGCUAGUUGGUGAGGUAACGGCUCACCAAGGCGACGAUGCGUAGCCGACCUGAGAGGGUGAUCGGCCACACUGGGACUGAGACACGGCCCAGACUCCUACGGGAGGCAGCAGUAGGGAAUCUUCCGCAAUGGACGAAAGUCUGACGGAGCAACGCCGCGUGAGUGAUGAAGGCCUUCGGGUCGUAAAACUCUGUUGUUAGGGAAGAACAAGUAUCGGAGUAACUGCCGGUACCUUGACGGUACCUAACCAGAAAGCCACGGCUAACUACGUGCCAGCCGCCGCGGUAAUAC
rnacentral:rRNA from 1 species